rnacentral:rRNA from 1 species
ACGCUGGCGGCAGGCCUAACACAUGCAAGUCGAGCGGUAGAGAGAAGCUUGCUUCUCUUGAGAGCGGCGGACGGGUGAGUAAUGCCUAGGAAUCUGCCUGGUAGUGGGGGAUAACGUUCGGAAACGGACGCUAAUACCGCAUACGUCCUACGGGAGAAAGCAGGGGACCUUCGGGCCUUGCGCUAUCAGAUGAGCCUAGGUCGGAUUAGCUAGUUGGUGGGGUAAUGGCUCACCAAGGCGACGAUCCGUAACUGGUCUGAGAGGAUGAUCAGUCACACUGGAACUGAGACACGGUCCAGACUCCUACGGGAGGCAGCAGUGGGGAAUAUUGGACAAUGGGCGAAAGCCUGAUCCAGCCAUGCCGCGUGUGUGAAGAAGGUCUUCGGAUUGUAAAGCACUUUAAGUUGGGAGGAAGGGCAGUUGCCUAAUACGUAACUGUUUUGACGUUACCGACAGAAUAAGCACCGGCUAACUCUGUGCCAGCAGCCGCGGUAAUACAGAGGGUGCAAGCGUUAAUCGGAAUUACUGGGCGUAAAGCGCGCGUAGGUGGUUUGUUAAGUUGGAUGUGAAAUCCCCGGGCUCAACCUGGGAACUGCAUUCAAAACUGACUGACUAGAGUAUGGUAGAGGGUGGUGGAAUUUCCUGUGUAGCGGUGAAAUGCGUAGAUAUAGGAAGGAACACCAGUGGCGAAGGCGACCACCUGGACUGAUACUGACACUGAGGUGCGAAAGCGUGGGGAGCAAAC